UCGAGAGGCUUCGGCAAUGGGGGAAACCCUGACCGAGCGACGCCGCGUGGAGGAUGAAGGCCCUUGGGUUGUAAACUCCUUUUGUUCGGGAAGAAGUGCGAUCAGGUGAAUAAUCUGGUCGUUUGACGGUACCGGACGAAUAAGCUCCGGCUAACUCCGUGCCAGCAGCCGCGGUAACACGGGGGGAGCAAGCGUUGUUCGGAAUCACUGGGCGUAAAGGGUGCGUAGGCGGCUGUGUAAGUCUGGCGUGAAAGCCCAGGGCUCAGCCCUGGAAGGGCGCUAGAAACUGCGCGGCUAGAGUGCCGGAGGGGAGAGUGGAAUUCCUGGUGUAGCGGUGAAAUGCGUAGAUAUCAGGAGGAAUACCGGUGGCGAAAGCGACUCUCUGGACGGCAACUGACGCUGAGGCACGAAAGCGUGGGGAGCAAACAGGAUUAGAUACCCCUGUAGUCCCUGAGCGGGCUGGCAAGGCGCAU
rnacentral:rRNA from 1 species